UACGGGGGGGGGCAAGCGUUGUUCGGAAUUACUGGGCGUAAAGGGCUCGUAGGCGGCCAACUAAGUCGGAUGUGAAAUCCCCAGGCUUAACCUGGGAACUGCGUCGGAUACUGGAUGGCUUGAAUUCGGGAGAGGGAUGCAGAAUUCCAGGUGUAGCGGUGAAAUGCGUAGAUAUCUGGAGGAAUACCGAUGGCGAAGGCAGCCCCCUGGGCUAACACUGACGCUGAUGCACGAAAGCGUGGGGAGCAAACAGG
rnacentral:rRNA from 1 species